GAUGAACGCUGGCGGCGUGCCUAAUACAUGCAAGUCGAGCGAACAGACGAGGAGCUUGCUCCUCUGACGUUAGCGGCGGACGGGUGAGUAACACGUGGAGAACCUACCUAUAAGACUGGGAUAACUUCGGGAAACCGGAGCUAAUACCGGAUAAUAUAUUGAACCGCAUGGUUCAAUAGUGAAAGACGGUUUUGCUGUCACUGAUAGAUGGAUCCGCGCCGCAUUAGCUAGUUGGUAAGGUAACGGCUUACCAAGGCGACGAUGCGUAGCCGACCUGAGAGGGUGAUCGGCCACACUGGAACUGAGACACGGUCCAGACUCCUACGGGAGGCAGCAGUAGGGAAUCUUCCGCAAUGGGCGAAAGCCUGACGGAGCAACGCCGCGUGAGUGAUGAAGGUCUUCGGAUCGUAAAACUCUGUUAUUAGGGAAGAACAAAUGUGUAAGUAACUAUGCACGUCUUGACGGUACCUAAUCAGAAAGCCACGGCUAACUACGUG
rnacentral:rRNA from 1 species